ACGGGGGAUGCAAGCGUUAUCCGGAAUGAUUGGGCGUAAAGAGUCCGUAGGUAGUCAUCCAAGUCUGCUGUUAAAGAGCGAGGCUUAACCUCGUAAAGGCAGUGGAAACUGGAAGACUAGAGUGUAGUAGGGGCAGAGGGAAUUCCUGGUGUAGCGGUGAAAUGCGUAGAGAUCAGGAAGAACACCGGUGGCGAAGGCGCUCUGCUGGGCUAUAACUGACACUGAGGGACGAAAGCUAGGGGAGCGAAUGGG
rnacentral:rRNA from 1 species